rnacentral:lncRNA from 1 species
CUGCUUGGUUUUUUGUUUUGUUUUUUGUUUUUUUCUUGAUCACUGAAAGUUUCUCCGCUCCAGUGACCAGCAUCAAGUAUCACAGCAAAGCAAAGGUUUCAUCUAGUGGCCUGGUAUCUUGUGAACCACAGCUGAUUCUCCAAACCUCACUUAAUCAGAACCACCAGGAAGGAUCUUGGCAAGACCGGAGAGCCUGCUGAUACUCAGGAUUACUUUUGGCUGAAAGACUAUUUCUCUACACAUUAGAAUGGCUAUUCCAUCAUGCUUCUUGGGUUAGCCUGCACCUACUUCAAAGCCUCUGAGGGUGCCUCGGGUCUACCAAGUCAACAUGUUUUCCUUCCCAAGUAGCUUUGGGGUCUCAAGUUUUUCCCAAUGAUUCAAGGAGGCAGAAGGUGGAGCACACUGUGUUCAUCAAGGAACAAACUCUAGUUCUGGAAGAAUAUUUUAAAAGUGCAAGUACCCAACCCAUGAACAAUGCAUGGCACCGGCUCAAGGAUUUGGAUUGAUGGAUCAAGAUCAAGAUCUGGUUCCAGAACUGAUGUGCUAGAGAGUACCAGAAGAAGGCUCAAAA